CGCUUUAGCACCCCAACAAAACAUACCGACCCUGCCGCCUGCCCGCGAGGGCAGGACCAGGCACUUGGUCUUUUCAGGUUGAAGGCGACUCGGUGCCUAGUCUAUUCCUAACUUUUCGACUCGGCGCCGCCGCUAUGAAGGCCGGUGGGCCCCUGUUCCUAUUACCUCCUACACCCAUACCUCAAAGAAGAGCUGCGGCAGCUGUCGCUGGGCUUCUGAGUUUACGACCCAGACGUACGCCAGUCGCCGAGCCCCUUCUCCCUGGACUCUUUCGUGCUCUGUCUCAGACGGCCGCAGCCUUUAGUAGUGGCUGAUCCAGCCGCGUCAGGUGUAUGUCUCAGUUGGGGGUCCGGGGUCCUACCUGCUUUUCCAACCUGACUUGGACGACUACCAACCCUCUGCCUCGAUAGAUCGGACGAACCAACGCGACCACGUGUACCACGGCCUGCUGAACGACGACUCGUGCCCGAUAGACGACUCACGAGUAGGAGGAGUCUAUACUCGCUACUUUCAACUUCUUCGCUGUGUCGGCUCGGACGCCUUUUUACGUCUGGAUAUCUGACUUUGAGUUAUAGUGCGAACUUCGGACGUUCUACGUUCUUGAUACCACAACUCCCAGUGGCGGCGUUGUCGACGUGGUACGGAGUGGAGACCCACAAUAACGUAGAACUGAUCUUAACGUAAAAGUCAUACCAAGUCAAACUCUUAAAAGAUCACGCGCAACGGGUGAACAAGUAGAGCCAACAUGCUACCGAAACACAAGUAGUCAACGACGCAAGUAAUCAAUACAAACACUUGUCAAUUGACACAAAAACGUACAUCAGCUGAUCAGCUCCUGACGGAUCGUACACUACAGACAGUUCAGACACACAAGGACUAACAUUUUUGAGGAGGAUCAAACACAGGACCCAGUGAGCUACUACUCUCAAAAACGACAUACACAGUAGUCUACAGACAGACAGGUUUGACUUAGACAUAAGAGAAGGGGACAAGCCACAUACCACUUGUUUAUUUCAGUACCGUUUUACUUC
rnacentral:rRNA from 1 species